CUCAGGUGAUCCGCCUGCCUUGGCCUCCCAAAGUGCUGGAAUUACAGACGUGAGCCACCAUGCCCGGCCCAGGUUUUUCUCUUAACAGCAGUUGGUUGUUGAGGUGACUCCACAGAGGUGAGGACCCAGGAUCUUCCCAUCUUGUUCACAAUUCAGAAAGUGUCCUUGAAUACAUGCUUUAAAAUGGCUCUCCACUACGUUGGCUUUUCCUGAGACAAGACAGAAAGAGACAGAGCAGUGCACACUCAUUUCCUUUGCAGCUAUGUCCCGGAAGUUCUGGGCAUCAUUUCUGUUCACAUCCCCUUGGCUAGAGCUUAGUCAUGUGACCAGGCCAGAUGCAGGGAAAUCUGGGAAAUUAUUCCCCGUGGCUCCCAUGCCCAGUGAAAACUCCAAGGUUCUCUGUCCAUAGAGCAAAGAGAGAAAUGGAUAUUGGGGUAACUAGAAGUUUCUAUCCUAUUCCAUUUCUGAUUUGUGAUCUCAGAAAUCUGUCUUCACACUAAUCCCGCCAUUAUGACUCUCUUGGCGCCCCCGCCUGUCAUGUGAACAGAAGACAGGCCAAGAACAUCAACACUCGAAAGUCAAGUAUCAUCCUGAGCUCAGGCUAAAACUCACAAAGGUCAAGUCAAGGGGUAAAGCAUUUAUGGAGGUGUUUUAGGUCAAUAAAAUUCCUCUUCUCAGGUUAGGGCAAGUGAAACCUAUUCACUUUAUUUAAAAGAGCUUUGUUGAUUAAAUGCCAAGUCAGUCCUGUUUGGACCUUAAAAGCUCUCAGUUCAGACCGUGAAGGCCAAGGGCUUGCCCGUAAGCCCUUAAUCAGGGCCCAGACUGAAUUCCUUAGGCUUUAUUCCUUUGCAGGGCAGAGAGGGAAAAAAGUGGUGGAUUGACAAGGAAAACUGGCUGGUGGUGAAUGUGUUCCCCUGCAAGAAGCCCUUGGGAGCGUGAGAGGUAGGCCAUCCCUAAGUAGAUGGAUUCACCCAGGCGCAGAAUCCAGAUAAUCCCAUAAAACACUUCUUGUUUUUGUGACUAAUCCAACUGUCAUACUCUGUUUCCAGGUGCUCAAGCUUUCAAAAAGUGUUGCUGAGUCUUGAUGUUCACUUUCUGGUUUGUCCAGAAUUCAUUUUUCAUCUCAACCCUAUCUCCAAGCUGCUUUCUUAUGUAUCAGACAAUAACAUGCUAAGUAAGGAGAAAUCAGGAAGGCAGCAAGGCUGUCCCGUACACUCAGUGUUUGUAAUUUGGGUCUUAUCUGCUGUUUGGGAUUGUGCGUGUUUCCCAGUUCCCUGCCUUUCAUCAUACUCAGUGGCAUGAUGGUUAUUUGUGUACAUGUCUCUCUCUCACAAGAGGAGGAGUGAUUCUGAGGAAUAAGGCUCCAUCCUAGUUUGUGUGGUCUUUCCAGAAUCCAGAUUGGUGCCGGCACGUGGCAAGCAUUGAAUCAAUGAUUAUUGAAUUGCUGACUUCAUUCAGACAACCAAGAUUGACCGUGGCGCUUUUCAGUUAAUCCACUUUGCCAUUGUCAGCAUUAAGUUAUCAGAAUGCCAUAUUUUUGUUGCAUUUGCAUGUUUUCUAGAUGCAACCCCAUCCAUUCCCUCCUCCUAACUUCCCUGCAGAGUCUAUUGCUAUUUUUAAAAAUGGAAGGAGUGUUUAUCAGAGGUUGGAGAGAGUCUACUCAUUAUAAAAAUUAAUAAUAUGGGAAAAUUGUUUGGCAAUUUCUUAUCAACUAAGCAUAUGUUUGUCUUAAUCCCCAGUAGUUACACUCUUGGACAUUUUUCUCAGAGAAAUACAAACCUAUUUUCAAAACCUAUUUUCAGACAAAAACCUUAUAUGAAUAUUCAUAACAGCUUUAUUCGUAAUAGCCUAGAACUGGAAACAAUCCAAAUGUCCUUCAAUGGACGAAUGGUUGAAAGAAACUCUCAUGUAUCCAUACGCUGGAACUCCACUCAGUAAUAAAAAGGAACAAAGUUUUGAGACAUGCAAUAUACUAGUUUACUAGUGCUGUCAUAACAAAGUACCACAAAUGAAGCGGCCUAAGUGACAGAAAUUUGUUUCACUGUUUGGGAAGUUAAAAGUUCGAGAUCAAAGUGUCCGGAGCACGUGAGGUCAUGCUGUCUGUGAAGGCACUAGGGAAGGCUUCUGGUAGUUCCUUGGCUGGGGCAGUGUAACUCCAGUCUUUGUAUAGUGUUCUCUCUGUGAGGUGUCUGUGUCCAAAUCUCUCUUUUAUAAAACACCAGCCAUAUUGGAUUAGGAGCCCACUCUACUCCAGUCUGACCUCAUCUUAGCUAAUUAUAUUUGUUAUGACUCUUUUUCCAAAUAAGUUCACAUUCUGAGCUACUGGGAGUUGAGACUUCAACAUCUGAAUUUUGGGUGGGACAUAAUUCAACCCAUAAUAUGCAACAACGUGGAUAAGGGCGUUAUGCUGAGUGAAAAAAAAGCCAAUUCCAAAAGGUUUCAUAUUAUACAAUUCCAUUUAUGUAACAUACACCAUUUGGUGGUUGCCGGGGGCAGAGACAGGAAUGGGAGGAUGAAUAUGUAAAGGGUCACAAGAGGGAGUUUACUUGGAGUGAAGAAAUUGUUGUGUAUCCUAUUUGGUGGUGGUUAUGCAAAUCUAUAUGAAGGAUCGAAUUGCAUUGAACUAGCAAACACACACACACACACGCACACGCAAAAACUGAUGAAAGCUGAACAAGGUCUGUAGUCUAGUCAACAGUACUGCACUAUGUGAAUUUUCCAGUUUUGAUAUUGUGCAAGAGUCAGAAAUGAUGUCACAGCAGGAGGAAUCUGAAUGAAGGACUGAAGGGACUAUUCUAUGUGCUGUUUGCAUCUUCCUGUGAGUGUAAUCCCCUCAAAAUUCAAAGUCAAACAAAAUGAAUGAUAAAACUAUGUUGACAGCCGGGAUGGAGGAAAUGAAAGACUGGGAGUGUGGGUAGGAUUAAACAGUUUCUCCUGAUAGGGUCACCAUCCUCAAAAGGAUCGUUGCCCCCUAAAUUCCCUGGCAUUUGCAGUCAUGCCACCUUGCUCCUCUACGAGCAGUAGAGAGAUGUGUGUAUGGGUGAGACAGGCAGCACUGGGCAGAAAGGUCAGAGCACAAAUACUUACCUGUUUGCCUCUAGACUUCUACCUUGAACUUGAUUUCCCAGAUUUUCAGAUUUGCUCUAUCUUGCUGGACUUGCUCCAUGCUCUGCCACUUGGAUGAAAUGAACUGCCUCAAAGUUGGCUUUGCCAUCUUUCAUCCUUGGUUCAGGUGAUCCAGGUUCUGGGCUGGCUCUGUCUGCUGCAUGCAUUUAGACAAGUCGCUUCUCCUGUCUUUGCCUCAGUUUCCUCAACUGUCCAAUGGGGGUAAAUCAUCCUUAUCUAAUCUUCAACUCUGGAAUAUCCUAAAGCUUUAAUUAUAAUUGCUGGAAGUUUUCAUGCAAAUCAAGUUCCAUUAUAAUGACUUCAUAAUAAUAAUGUGGUAGUGAUUUAAUUAUUAAGCAUCUCCUACAUACUAAGCACAAACAUUACUUCUUAAUGCUCAUAAAAAUCAUGCAAGGUAAGUGUCACGGACAACCUGGGGGUAAUACCAAGCACAUUCCAUGCCUGCUUAGGAAAUUGCCCGCCCUGAAGGGGCCAACAUUCCCUGUUUGACCUAAAAGCUAAAGGAAUCUUUGUUUGAGUCUUGAUCCAGGAGACCGGGAGCUUUGUUUACUUUCAAGGGUCCACAUCACCCUUUUACACAAGAUCCCUGGGGCAGGGGCAUGACUGAGUCAGCUUGACAGGCUCAUGAGAGCUGAUUGUACACAUCUCUUCCCAACCCUGGGCUCAGUGACAUCACAUUCCGGCUUGAAAUUGGCCACAGUGGGAGUAUUUGCGCCAUGGAAAUCAGCAAAUGCUACAAAUCAGAGCUGUGUUUGUUUCCUCCGAAAGCCAGUUUUCCAGCCUGGGAUGAUCCAUUGCAAAUGGGAUUUCUGGUGGUAUAUUAAGAUGUCCCCAAGUUCCCAAGGUGGAUGGGAGGGUUUGGCCACCAACAUAAAAUACUGAUUAUGAACAUACUUGAGAAACCAACUCCACAGAUUACUAGCUGUGUUACCAUGGGCAAUAUACUUACCCUCUCAAGAUCUCAGUUUCCUCCCCUGUAAAAUGAGAAUAUUGACAGAGUCUGCUUCCAACCCCUAAAGCACUUUUCACAAUGAGGGCCCCAGUAAAUAUUAGCUUUUAUUGAACUGUUGGUUACUUCUAUUUUUAUUAUAAGGUUCCUGGUCUCUAUAAGCAGGCAGCUUUUAAGCUGUUGUCCACACCACUUUUCUAAAAAAUAAUUUGAAUAUAACAUUGAGAGGACAGAUUCUGGAAAUUUCCACCUGGGUUCAAAUCCUUACCCUGCUACUUAUUCACUGAAUGACUCUGAGCAAGUGACUUAGCUACUCUAUGGGCCAAUUUCCUCACACGUAGGCUGGUGAUUAUAAUAAUACCUACCAUUUAGGGUUGUCCCAAGGAUAAAGCGAGUCAGUGUGUAUAAAUCACAGAUAUCAGUGUCUCACUCGUAGCAUUAUGUAAGUGUUUGCUGUUAUUAUUCUGAAAGUUAGUGCACUGGGUUGAAUAGUAUCUCUCAAGAAUUCAUAUCCUUUCUGGAACCUCACAAUGUGGUUCCAAGUAAGGACUUGGAAAGACGGAUGUAUGUAGUAGAUGUGUAGUAGGUGUAAUUAGUUAAGAUGGCAUACGGGAGUAGGGUGAGCCCUUGAUCCAUUAUGACCCGUGUCUUAUAAGAGGAGAAUGGACACAGAGACAGACACACACAUACAUAGGGCAGAUGAUGUAGACAAAGAGAAAAUGCAACGUGACGUCAGAGGCAGAGAUUGGUGUGAUUCAGCUGCAAGCUAGGGAUGCCAAGAAUUACUGGCAACAGCAAGGAGCUAGGAAGAGCUUUCCAGAAAACCCGACUAAUGAGAAAACCAGGGACCAGAUGCCUGCCUGCUCUAGGCAUUGAGACUGAUCAUGUCAAAUGCCACUGAAUUUUCCUCUUCACUGUUAAACCUGGAAGUUUCUUACUGCCAACCAUGUAUGUAUGUAUUUAAAAAAACUCACAGCUGG